GUAUUAAAAAAGUGUUUUUAAAAACAUCUGAAUUAAUUAGUUUAUUUAAAAUCAUGUAUCAUUUUUAAAUUGUUAUUUUAUGUCACAAUAAUCAUUUUCAAAACAAUUAACAACAAUAAAAUGUUACAGAUGUGACACGGUUUUCUAGCUUAAUGCUUCCUACACUUUCUUUCAGAAAUAGUUCACACAUAAAAUAAUCUCAGGGUGACUAAUAGUGUUCAUAAUGAAUAGAAACUUUUAAUUUUUACAACAAGAAAAAAAAGGAAAUGUACAAUUAAUUCAACACCACAGCAAAUGACCAAUAAUAAUAAUCCUAUCAGAAACAAGCUUUAAAUCCAUCAUUUUCAACAUUGCUUAAAAAAAACAUUUUAUUAAAUUAAAACAAUGCAACAACAUAAAUGUCACAGUACAUGUUAUUUUGUCAUAAAAGUAGUGUUUGAUACUUUAAAUGCAAAUAUUUAAGGGGGGGGGG